GAGAGAGACAUGCGCGCAUAUCAAUAAGCGGAGGAAAAGAAACUAACAAGGAUUCCCUUAGUAACGGCGAGUGAAGCGGGAAGAGCUCAAAUUUGAAAUCUUCAAGGUUUACCUUGACGAAUUGUAGUUUAAAGAAGUGUUUUCUGCUGAAGUUUUGGUAAAAGUUCUUUGGAAUAGGACAUCAUAGAGGGUGAGAAUCCCGUAUUUGACCAUUAUUUUCAGCUUUGUGAUACACUUUCAAAGAGUCGGAUUGUUUGGGAAUGCAGUCCAAAAUGGGUGGUAAAUUUCAUCUAAAGCUAAAUAUUGGCGAGAGACCGAUAGCGAACAAGUACCGUGAGGGAAAGAUGAAAAGAACUUUGAAAAGAGAGUUAAACAGUACGUGAAAUUGUCAAAAGGGAAGCGUUUGACACCAGUGUUGUUUUCUCGAAAAUCAAUUAAAAAUGGCUCGAUUUUGUAUUGUUGAGACCUUAAAAGCUCACUGUACAUUUUUCGUGUCUUUUUUAAUGCACUUUUCGUUUAACAAGUCAACAUCAGUUUCUUUUGUUGUAAAAGGGUCAUUGGAAGGUGGCUUUCUUUUCGGAGAAAGUGUUUAUAGCCUUUGGCCUCUGCAAUCGGAGAGACUGAGGUCUGCAGCGUAGACUCUUCGGGGUUAGAUACAUUUGUGCUAAGUUAUAGCUUUUUAUAGACAACUUGUUGACUAUAAUUAGUCUUGUAGCUUACUCGCUUAUGCUAUUUUACCUACGCUUAGGAUGUUGAGUCGUAGAGCACGCAG
rnacentral:rRNA from 1 species